rnacentral:rRNA from 1 species
AGAGUUUGAUCCUGGCUCAGAUUGAACGCUGGCGGCAGGCCUAACACAUGCAAGUCGAGCGGUAGAGAGAAGCUUGCUUCUCUUGAGAGCGGCGGACGGGUGAGUAAUGCCUAGGAAUCUGCCUGGUAGUGGGGGAUAACGUUCGGAAACGGACGCUAAUACCGCAUACGUCCUACGGGAGAAAGCAGGGGACCUUCGGGCCUUGCGCUAUCAGAUGAGCCUAGGUCGGAUUAGCUAGUUGGUGGGGUAAUGGCUCACCAAGGCGACGAUCCGUAACUGGUCUGAGAGGAUGAUCAGUCACACUGGAACUGAGACACGGUCCAGACUCCUACGGGAGGCAGCAGUGGGGAAUAUUGGACAAUGGGCGAAAGCCUGAUCCAGCCAUGCCGCGUGUGUGAAGAAGGUCUUCGGAUUGUAAAGCACUUUAAGUUGGGAGGAAGGGUUGUAGAUUAAUACUCUGCAAUUUUGACGUUACCGACAGAAUAAGCACCGGCUAACUCUGUGCCAGCAGCCGCGGUAAUACAGAGGGUGCAAGCGUUAAUCGGAAUUACUGGGCGUAAAGCGCGCGUAGGUGGUUUGUUAAGUUGGAUGUGAAAUCCCCGGGCUCAACCUGGGAACUGCAUUCAAAACUGACUGACUAGAGUAUGGUAGAGGGUGGUGGAAUUUCCUGUGUAGCGGUGAAAUGCGUAGAUAUAGGAAGGAGCACCAGUGGCGAAGGCGACCACCUGGACUAAUACUGACACUGAGGUGCGAAAGCGUGGGGAGCAAACAGGAUUGGAUACCCUGGUAGUCCACGCCGUAAACGAUGUCAACUAGCCGUUGGAAGCCUUGAGCUUUUAGUGGCGCAGCUAACGCAUUAAGUGACCGC